rnacentral:tRNA from 1 species
UCCAGGGUAGCCUAGUGGACAUGGCAUCUGCCCGGUAAGCGGAAGGUUUGGGUUCGAUUCCCGCCCCUGGAU